rnacentral:rRNA from 1 species
UACGUAGGUGGCAAGCGUUGUCCGGAUUUACUGGGCGUAAAGAGCGCGCAGGCGGUCGGAUAAGUCGAAUGUGAAAGCCCCCGGCUUAACUGGGGAGGGUCAUUCGAUACUGUUCGACUCGAAGGCAGGAGAGGGAGGUGGAAUUCCCGGUGUAGUGGUGAAAUGCGUAGAUAUCGGGAGGAACACCAGUGGCGAAGGCGACUUCCUGGCCUGUUCUUGACGCUGAGGCGCGAAAGCUAGGGGAGCAAACGGG